UACGGAGGAUGCGAGCGUUAUCCGGAUUUAUUGGGUUUAAAGGGUGCGUAGGCGGAUAUGUAAGUCAGCGGUGAAACUCACAGGCUCAACCUGUGCCGUGCCGUUGAAACUGUGUAUCUGGAAUGCGGAUGCUGUGGGAGGAAUGUGUAGUGUAGCGGUGAAAUGCAUAGAUAUUACACAGAACACCGAUUGCGAAGGCAGCUUACUAAUCCAUCAUUGACGCUGAGGCACGAAAGCGUGGGGAUCAAA
rnacentral:rRNA from 1 species